rnacentral:rRNA from 1 species
GAGGCAGCAGUAGGGAAUAUUGCGCAAUGGCCGAAAGGUUGACGCAGCGACGCCGCGUGUGGGAGGACGCCCUUCGGGGUGUAAACCACUGUCAGGGGGGAAGAACUUCGUAGGUGUUAAUAGCGCUUGCGGUUGACGGUACCCCCAGAGGAAGCGCCGGCUAACUCCGUGCCAGCAGCCGCGGUAAGACGGAGGGCGCAAGCGUUGUUCGGAAUUACUGGGCGUAAAGGGCAGGUAGGUGGUCUGUUAAGUCUUCUGUGAAAACCCGGGGCUCAACCCCGCGGAAUGCAGGUGAAACUGGCAGACUUGAGACCGGUAGAGGCUAGCGGAAUUCCUGGUGUAGCGGUGGAAUGCGUAGAUAUCAGGAAGAACACCUGUGGCGAAGGCGGCUAGCUGGGCCGGUUCUGACACUAAACUGCGAAAGCGUGGGGAGCAAACAGGAUUAGAUACCCUAGUAGUCCAAGCCG